UACGUAGGGUGCAAGCGUUGUCCGGAAUUAUUGGGCGUAAAGAGCUCGUAGGCGGUCUGUUGCGUCGGCUGUGAAAACCCGGGGCUCAACCCCGGGCCUGCAGCCGAUACGGGCAGACUAGAGGUAGGCAGGGGAGAGCGGAACUCCUGGUGUAGCGGUGGAAUGCGCAGAUAUCAGGAAGAACACCGGUGGCGAAGGCGGCUCUCUGGGCCUUACCUGACGCUGAGGAGCGAAAGCGUGGGUAGCGAACAGG
rnacentral:rRNA from 1 species